rnacentral:rRNA from 1 species
AGAGUUUGAUUCUGGCUCAGAACGAACGCUGGCAGCGUGGAUUAGGCAUGCAAGUCGAACGAUAAUUCGUGGAUUCAAUCUUUCGGGAGAGAAUCUGCGGAGGACAGUGGCGGAAGGGUGAGUAACGCGUGGGCAAUCUGCCUCUAAGUUGGGGACAACCCCUCGAAAGGGGGGCUAAUACCGAAUGUGGUCGUCCCGCUAUGCGGGAUUGAUUAAAGGUGGGGAUCUUUCGGGACCUGCCGCUUGGAGAGGAGCCCGCGUCCGAUCAGCUUGUUGGUGGGGUAACGGCCCACCAAGGCGUCGACCGGUAGCUGGUCUGAGAGGAUGGUCAGCCACACUGGGACUGAGACACUGCCCAGACUCCUACGGGAGGCUGCAGUCGAGGAUCACUCGCAAUGCGCGAAAGCGUGACGAUGCGACGCUGCGUGGAGGAUGACGGCCUUCGGGUUGUAAACUCCUGUCAUGAGGGAAAAGCUGUCCCGGUGUUAAUACCGCCGGGAUUCGAUGGUACCUCAAGAGGAAGCCACGGCUAACUCUGUGCCAGCAGCCGCGGUAAUACAGAGGUGGCGAGCGUUGUUCGGAUUUACUGGGCGUAAAGGGUGCGUAGGUGGUCUCGUGUGUUGGAUGUGAAAGCCCACGGUUCAACUGUGGAACGGCAUUCGAAACUGCGGGACUAGAGUCCAGGAGGGGAGAGCGGAAUUCUUGGUGUAGCGGUGAAAUGCGUUGAUAUCAAGAAGAACACCGGUGGCGAAGGCGGCUCUCUGGAAUGCGACUGACACUGAGGCACGAAAGCUGGGGGAGCGAACAGGAUUAGAUACCCUGGUAGUCCCAGCUGUAAACGGUGUGCACUUGGUGUAGGGGGUAUUGACCCCCCCUGUGCCGGAGCUAACGCGUUAAGUGCACCGCCUGGGGAGUACGGCCGCAAGGCUAAACUCAAAGAAAUUGACGGGGGCCCGCACAAGCGGAGGAGCAUGUGGCUUAAUUCGAUGCAACGCGAAGAACCUUACCAGGGUUUGACAUGUACCUGCAUGCCCCCUGAAAGGGGGGAGGCCUUCGAGGGUGGUACACAGGUGCUGCAUGGCUGUCGUCAGUUCGUGCCGUGAGGUGUUGGGUUAAGUCCCGCAACGAACGCAACCCCUGUGUUUAGUUGCCACCGCAGGUGAUGAGCCUGCGAGCACUCUAAACAGACCGCCCGUACAAGCGGGAGGAAGGUGGGGACGACGUCAAGUCAGUAUGGCCCUUACACCCUGGGCUGCACACGUGCUACAAUGACCGGUACAGGGGGAAGCAAUGCCGCGAGGUGGAGCAAAUCCCCAAAACCGGCCCCAGUUCGGAUUGGAGUCUGCAACUCGACUCCAUGAAGUCGGAUUCGCUAGUAACGGCGCAUCAGCUACGGCGCCGUGAAUACGUUCCCGGGCCUUGUACACACCGCCCGUCACAUCAUGAAAGCCGUCUGCACCCGAAGUCACUGGGCUAACCCGCAAGGGGAGUAGGUGCCGAAGGUGUGGGUGGUGAUUGGGAUGAAGUCGUAACAAGGUA